AUUCUGUGAUGAGGGCACUUCCGUAAUAAUUCUUUGUACCUUUCCCAUUGCUCAUACAAUGACUCAUCAUCCAUUUGUUCGAAAGCAGUGAUCUCAUUCUUCAACUU
rnacentral:snoRNA from 1 species